UGCUAAUAAACCAAACCAUCAGAAUUGCAACAAAAACAAUUGAGCCAAUGGAGUGUCACAGCGAGAAACAGUGAGUCACGCACCCAUACAAAGGCACACUUCUUUGCUUUUGCAUGACAGCAUUCUAAGUGUAUCUUUUUCCUUUUUGCCAGCCAGAGGCAGAAAACCACUUGCAGACAGACCCAAGGUCUCCAAAAUGUAAACAUCUACAACAAAAAUACACACUCCUGAAACACAAACACUUCAGAAAGUUCCGGUUACACUUAAGAGUAAACCCAGGCUUAAAGCAGAAACUUGUGUAACUUUAAGUAUCCACACACAAUCCUAAUCAACUACAUUAACAUGGACAUUCCCAGAUUCUAAAAGUUUUCACCUUUUAAAGUAGUACAGAUACUGAAUACAAUGGAAAUUAUUUCCCUUGUUCAGGUUCUCCACCUUUUCUGAUUUACAUCUUGACCUCAAUUCCUACAAACACCCAACUCUACCUAACCUGCACCCGUGGCACUGGGAAUCCCUCCCGUGAAACACUGAUUACAAAAUACACAGCAUUCUCUGGUGCUCUGGUGCUCCCUAUAAACUUCAACGAAGUUUCUUUAGUUUGAAAGGUUUUUUCAUAUAAAAGACAGUGAAGUCAUCCUGCAGAACAAUAAUUUCAGAAUAGUGCGACAUCCAACACUUCUGGCACCAGUGUGACACCGUGCUCCUUACCUGUGUGCCCAUGUGUAAAACAUGCACAGCCACACUUCUCACAGCUUGCAUAAUCUGGCUGAUCAAACCUAACAGAGCCCUUUAAAAGUAAAAAUGUCAUGCAAAAGCAAAUCCAAAGUUUGUGGAUUCUGCUUACAAAGCGCGACUUGAGCAUUUUGCGCUGCCGAGUAAACAGCGAGUGCUUCGCAUUACGAAAGGGUAUCGUAUGCCAGAAACUCCAAGUCACCAUCGUGUAAAACCCUUCUAAAUGCCUCCUGCCACACUGUUUGCUGACUCCCUGGCAUUGCAGAUGAACUGAUGCGUCUUUGGAAGUCAAGAGGACAAAAGCAAACAGAAAAAACUCCUAACUUUACCAGAGAAGAACUUCAGUCGUUACUGCAUACAGCAAAACAAACACGUAAAACCAGGGACAACCCAAAUGGGAACAGCAUUUCAGAAGACAGAAAAGGACUGUUUCCAUGGAUCUCCAAACCUAGGCCCCACUGCAGGGUUCCCCAGAGCAUAACACCCUGCAGCAGCAGGUCACAGAUCAAGCAUCUCAUGCAGAACACAAGCAGAGUUCCAGUGGCACAGUGAACACGUUAAACCCUUGCAAAGACGGCUCCCUGUUCAGGGUAUCGGCGCAGCAGCGUUUGAGAAAGGAGAGACAAGGCCUGGAAUGCCUUUGGAAGUGCAAUGAAGUGAUGUGGUCCCUUGUGCUGCGUUAGCUUUUAGUUCUAGGGAGGGAGAACUCUCCCAGAUGAGCCUGAGGCAGAAUUCAGUGCUGGGGUGGAUGCAGUUAUUGCUCCACCACACCCCAAUGCAUCCAUCCAUGCACUGACCAGCUUGGGACAAACAUGUUUUUCUGCAAUCCCCCCCCCUUUCUCAGCUAGGAAACCAUCCCUAUAUGUCUUUAAGUUCACCAUGACUGCAUCUCCCACGAUAUCUGAGGUUACAAGUACUGUAAGUGCAACUAAAGCCAGCUGGCUCUUGUGAAAUCUUGUUUGUUUCUUGGAGAGACCAGAGCUUAGUGCAGCUCUUCGUGGUGGUUAAAGAACUGUAAUCCGCUGUCCACAUGCCAAAAUGGGAUCUGUUAUCUGCCAGAAAAUGACUUUCCCAACACUGCCCAGGCUAUUAUCUCAAAGCUGACCUGCAAUCAUUAACUUCCAAGCAUCUGGGAGGUUAAAUUGCUCAGUGUUUUGUCUCCUUUUACGCAAAAGCAAUACUCAUUACAUAAGAAUAUCUAUUUAAUUUAUAUCCUUCUCCUCCUCAGGAAAAAACAGAGAAUGAAUGCUUGCAUAAGCCACAUUGUUACGCCCUCAUUAGUUUUAUCAAGUGCAGACUUGACUGAUUUUCACUGUAAAAGCUGAAUUACCUGCUCCAAGAGCCCCCAGCAAAUGCUAAUGGACAUUAAUGUGGCCCCCUACUGACUUCUGCCUUGUUCAGCUGCUGAAGUCUUACUGCCAUGAAUUCCAGCCAUCCCAUACUUCACAUGGCAUUUGGGAAGGCUUUUCUAGGGAAAAUCCAGCUGUACCUUAAAAAGAAUGCUGCAGGUGCAAACCUCAAGAAACUGGGACUCAAGAAUGAAAAGCAAGAGUUAUGGGUGUCGUUACAAGUCUGAAUGUUUGUUCUGAAACCUUUGUGGGCUGCUCAUGUUGUUGAUCUAAAAGUCACAAAUUCCCUACCCAUCCCCUGUGGGGGUUAAUGACACUGGAGAUAAAGCUGGGCUCAGUGGCUUUGCCACAGGCCACAGUGACUCUGUGUCCCAAGCAGUGAAAGGCUGUCCCCUGUGGCAGGUUGUCUCCUGUGUAGGAGUCCACGUUAUCAGGGCAUGACAGUGUCUUUUGACAGCAGAUGAAGGGAAAGGCUGUGUAAUGCCAGACCCAGGAGUGAGAACCAGGAGAACACUGAAAUAGGCACAGACUCAUCUUCCUUUCUCUUGGCUGCCCCACCCUCCACCCCCAGCCUGUCUGGUCUCCUCAUCCUUUGUCCCCACCCUGUUCUUUUCCCUUCCCCUGCUGUCAGGCACAGGUUCCUGGCCUAUUUCUAAAUCUUUCCCCAGCUCCUCAUGCCAAGCUCUGUCCUCUGGACUACUUUUCCUUUGUAUCUCACUAUGGCUCCUAGCCAUGUGCUCCAGAGCUGUGUUUCCUUUACCCAAUGCUUCUUAAUCCCUGCCUCCUUUCUUGAAGUUCAAAGCCUUCUUCCUGAGCCAAUCCUCAUAACCCUAUAGCUUGUUUUUUCCAUAGGCUCCUUCAUUUUCCUUUCCCCUAGGACUUUCCCAUCUCAUGGUAGUUCCCAGUUCCCCAUUUCACUCCCUGGCAGGGUGACAGUCUCCCUGAGUCCCAUCAGGCUGCCCAUCACCUGCCUACCACAAAACUCAAGUUACAAAACUCUUCAGUCUUCUUCAAAGAAGGUACCAUGGCAUUGAUUACCUCAGCAAGUGCAACCAAUCCCAAACCCAUACAUCAUCUAGGAGUGCUUCACUGCAGGGAAAAUAACAAAAAUGUAUGUGCCAAACUUUAUUGCCACAAGUAUAAAGGGCUCUCAUUCUGACUAAUUGCACUCCUUGAGUCAUUGCACCACAGCCAACAAGUACCUUGGAAAAACAACAAAAAACUCAGCAAGCAAACAAUGACAGAAGCCUUCCCCUCAAUGACCAGCAAGUCAAGGUCAUUGCAAAUAACGAUAUUCAUUAAUUAACUUAAACUCAGGCAGCCAGACAGCAUUUUGGUGCAUAUGUUUGCACAGACAUAUUAUACAUGCAAGGAUGGAUAGAAUUCAGAAGUGUGGUCUAAAGUUUAUUUCAUAAAAUUCACCCUGGCCAAGAUGAAUGCUGGAUUUUAGCUGUUAUUUCCAUUCACAAUUGAAUUGCAAUUUUUCAGACAGAUUAAUCUCAGAGUUUUCAUAUUAAGAUGACAGCUGUUUAUGAAUCAAUUUAUGGGCUUUGUCAUCUAAUGAUUCAUACAUUUUAAAAUGACCGAGCUAAUAUCGAUGAUUCCUUUCACUGGAAAUGGGAGUUGCACAUCCCAUUUUACAUCAGUUGCUCCUAGUCUGAAGUUGGGUUUUCCUUUGACCGCCUCCUUGCCCAUUGUUGGGUUUGCCACUGUUGUGGCUGACGUGCACACAGGGACGAGGAGAGUCACUCUGAGCUAUUGGCUGCUCUCCUGACAUCAGUGUGUGGGUGCACAGCCAGGCUUAGUCACUGGGCCCAGCUGUGUGGGCCUGCAGGGAGCACGGUGUUGUCUGUCACAUCUGGGAGCGCACAGCAGCCGCGCGUGUGGGGCUGUGCCGGGGCUGGGAUCCCGGGGGAGCUGCAGCCUGCCAGAGCCUGGCUCCCGGGGCUCAGCUCCUGCAGCAGCUCCCUGGGUGUCCACACACAGCCUGCAGGGUGCUGCCAAGGCAGGCCAUGGAGCAGACGCUGCUGGCUAAGCCGUGCUUCUACUAAGUAGCGAUGAACAGUUCAGAGCCAACAUCCUUCCUUGUUUUUAGUGAUGUAAAAAAAAAAAUUCUCUGGGAUGAUUUGAAGACAGGCAAGAAGAGAGUGAUGAGGCAUUCCUUUAAGGUUUUUACUUCCCAUUGUCUUCCCUGGCCUCCCUGAAGCUACCAUGAUGCUGUCCCUCAAAGCAGGGGAGGUGGGGACACCAUGCCAAAGGAAAGGCUGGAUGCACAGCUAGCAGGGAUAUCAGACAGCAGAGUAUGGAAGGAAGAACAGGAUGUGCACAGGAUAUAUCCCCAGGCUACCUCACCUACUUGGAUGGAAUUUAUGGCAACAUUACUUUUACUCACACCCUUCAAACAGCACCUCUCACUGACUUCUUUGGCAGCCAUCUCCAGAUGGUAUUUUUACUGCACACAGAUGCCAUAUAAAAGUAUUAAAAUAUUUUUACCUACAACACUUGUACAUUCCCAAGAACAAGUAUACAAGAGCCUUUAUGGCCCUGCAUCAGAUGACUUCACCUCGUGCUGAACAAUUCCUGCAACUUUCCCUAACAGGUCUCUUGUCACAGCCCCACCACCACAGACACCGUAAGGUGACACCAGUGCCAUGCCAACUACUUCAUUUUUACUAAGGACAUUUAUAGAGGUGACUUUCAAAGACAACUAUUUGCUCUGAUUUCCUUCUUACGGUGGUACCAAGUAGCCCAUAAGGCAUCAUUAGUUCAUUAGUUCCUGAAGUAUGGUUCUCCUUUCUUCCUUAUAAACAGCUUGCUGCUUUUUUGGACUUUUUAUUUUCUUUUAAUUUUUUUUUUAAACUAUUUAGCUAUUUAUUUUCAGGUUAAAAAUAUGACCUCAUGCUCAAAUUUAUUAUUGAGCAGAGUUAUUUUUAUAGAGCACUGUUUUUUUUCCUAGUGGCCAGUUUCACCACAGAGACAUGAAUGAGAAUAAAUACCUUUCUCAGCUGUGGCUGUGGAAUUGGAGAACAGAAUGAAGCAGCAGAGAAUUGUGAUCUUUAGCAAACCAAAGUUUCUGAAAUUCUGAAGGGGAAGGACCUGAGUACAACCUGAGUACAGCCCAAAGAAUUUACUUAGGGAAGUUAAAAAAAAAAAAAAAAAAGGCCCUUCCUUAUGUGUGGUGGUUUUUUGGUUUUUUUGUGUGUGUAAGCACUAGAGCCAAUCCCUUUCCUGCUUUUCUCCAUCUAUAUUGUGUGCUCUUCUCUGGUUUCUAGAAGAUUCCAUGCUCCAUAAAGGCAAAUAGCUGAGACAGUUAUAAAUAUCAUAGCAAAACCCAGGAGCUGAGGAAGAAGAGCAGGAAGAAAGUGGCAAGUGCAAUAUAAAGAAUGAGUUGCUGCCAAUGCAUGUUUUCUCCAGAGCCUGUAACAAAUAAAAAGUUAGGUUAAUCGUCUAAAAAACCUGUGACUUUUAUUACACAAUUAGUUCAGCUAUUAUUCUGAACCAACCUGAUCCCAUGUCUAGUGCAGCCUGGCCAACGCCACUCGACUGCCAGACACACACAUUUCACAAUUAGCAUUUCAGGAGUCAACUGGACCUAUUUGGGAGCUCCUUCUGAAACUUUUUUCCAGCUUAGGGGAUGACUACAAUUAAAUUCCUGUCACUGGAGUUGUUGAUGACAAAUCUUUCCUGACAUUCUUCAUUAUACUCUCACCUUCAAUACCUUGAGCAUAAGCUUCUAGAGAAACUGAUGUUUUAGGGUAUCCCUCUGCUGCCUGCCAUUUUCAACAGUUGAUUUCCAGACAUCUCCCAUGCUCUCCAAAUUAAGCACCAAUAAAGCAUCUCAGCACUCUGGAGUCAGUUCAGGCCUCGAUCCAAAUCCCUUAAAAAUCUAUUGGGCUCUUUGAAGUGAUGAUGGCAGCCAUUGUUUUUAAGACAUUUGAGUUCCCAGCCAGCUCUCACUAGAAAUCCUGGCUCCGUGCAUCACAUGUGGGAAAACUGCCUGGGUCUAGGAUGUGCAGUAAGGACAAAGGAGUAGAAAUGUGACAGAAAUAAUGAUGAAGUGAUUUGUGUAAAAAAAAAAGUAAAAAGCAGAAUUUGUAACUUUACUCAAC